rnacentral:rRNA from 1 species
GACGAACGCUGGCGGCGUGCCUAACACAUGCAAGUCGAACGGAAAGGCCCUGCUUUUGUGGGGUGUUAGAGUGGCGCAGGUGUGUGCAACACGUGAGUCACCUUCCCUUGGCUUUGGGAUAACUUCAGGAAACCGGGGCUAAUACCGGAUAGGAGCUCCUGCUGCAUGGUGGGGUUUGGAAAGUUUCGGCGGUGGGGGAUGGACUUGCGGCUUAUCAGCUUGUUGGUGGGGUAGUGGCUUACCAAGGCUUUGACGGAUCGCCGGCCUGAGAGGGUGACCGGCCACAUUGGGACUGAGAUAGGCACCAGACUCCUACGUGAGGCAGCGGUGGGGAAUCUUGCACAGUGAUCCGAAGCCUGAUGCAGCAACGCCGGGUGUGGGAUGACGGCCUUGGGGUUGUGAACCGCGUUCACUUGUGACGUAGCGUGUGUGACGGUACUGGGUGGAUAAGCACCGGCUAACUACGUG